rnacentral:sRNA from 1 species
CCCCCCCCCCCCCCCCCCCGCCUUCACCACUCUCCUCGCCUUCCCCAUCCGCUGUGCUGCCCCGCUGCACGCCGAUUCCCCAUCCACCGUUGCUCGAUUUCUCUCCUCUCCCGCGCCGCCCCUCUGCCUUCGUUGCAUCCCUCAUGUGUCGCCCCUCCGUCGUCGUCGGAUUGUCAUGCCACCCGCCGCCGCCGCUUGCUCGUGGAGAUGGCGAUGACCGUUGAAGGAUUCAAGCACAGCCAAUUCCAAGGGGUAUAAAUGGUAUAAAUAGAAGACCUUGAGGGAACAGAAAGAAUCACCUUGCUUGUGCCUAAUUGCUCCAAAUUAAAAGCUCAGGUACGACUUGCAGCAAACAGGAAGCUUUCUCCAUUAGAAGGAAUCAAAUCGAUCAAGAAGUCACUUGAAUCAGGACCUAGCAUACAUAUUCAGGUAGGAGGUCUACGAUGGGCAGCGGUGUGGUCACGAGUUCCACAACGGUGAGUGUCUAUAUUCUGUACAAACGACAUAGAACCAUACUUAUUUCCUCAAAUGCUGUUAGUCUUAAGUAUAUUUCCUCAAAUGCUUAUCUUUCUAAUUCUUAAGUAUACUUCUGAAGUGCUGAUCCUGACAGAUGGCUACCUGGUAGCUGUAGCAGUACUUAAGUACAAAAUGUUAAAGAGUAUAAUCUAUUUAUAUAUCUAUUAAUUUUUACGAUGUGAGCUCUUCAAUCUGGAUAUUUCUGAGUUUCAUCUAUUUCUGAUAUUCAAAUAACUGGAGCGGGGCAUCAGUAGCAAAGUAUGAAAACUAAGUCUGCCCGACACAACAACGUGAUUCUGAAAUUGACAAGGCUAACCCCAUAUUCUUCUACACUACUUUUUUUAUUCCUGCAAACUAAUGCUACAUUGUUAUGCCGACUAAUGCUGGGAGCACAGGCCGCGUCUUAACUGAACAUGAGUAUGCAAAAACUGAAGGUGAUUCUUAUUUUCUAAAUCUUUAUCUCAAUAUUUCCUCUAGGGGUUACAUUGGAGCGGGCCAAAUAUUGUAUAGGUAAGCAUUUUGCCUCUUGGCUAUUACAAGUUUUCCGUCUUAUAUAUGUAUCUAGAAGUUCAUGUUGCCGUGCGCUGCUUUUACGCAUGCUGCCAUGUACACAUGUUUAGUUUUAGUAAAAAUAAGUAAGGUUUCAUUGCACGGUAAGUAUUGUUUACAGGUGUGCAAAUUGAUAGGAGCUAAUUCAUGCAAUGGCUUCUAAACAUAAUGUUACUUGAUAACUAGGAUAUAAAUUAAUAAUUACAUGGAAGAACUAAUUUAUAUCUAUAAGUUGCUUUCAAUUUUACCAUGAGUUAGUAUGUGCUACCAUAAUCCUUGGAAUUGGAGGGUUUGUAGCAGAUCUCAUCAGUUGUAAGGAAAGUGGAAAAAGUUUAUUUGGUCAGUGUUAAGCUAUCUUACCGUGCAAUGUACAUUAGGUAAUGUAUGCUGUUAACAGUUAUUUUUGUUGUUAAAUCCAAUCCAUUUUCUUAAAUUCAAUAAAGUAUUGAUGAAACAACUUAGAUGCAUCCAAACAAUGCUAGCAAUGCUCUUAAUGGGGAGCAGCAACCUGAAGGGUAGAGUCACCCAUAUAUUCUGGUAUAUUUUUUAUAAUGGAAAUGUGUUAAGGGGUAAAUCAACAUGUACCAGACCUUUAGAUAAUUCUGUAUCAUUUGCCUGCACAAUGCAAAUCAUGAAAAUUUUGCUGUAAUUUUUAUCAUUAAUGCCUUUCAGGAAUUUAGGAUGAGUUCAGGAAGUCAUAAGAUUGAUCAGAAUUACUACCACUUAUGCCAUUAGGCUUUAAGUUUAUAUGGAAGGGGUGUGGAUUGGCAGCAUGCGUUGAAUAAUUCCUCCUAAGGCCACAAAACAAUUGGCCUUCCCAGUUUGAUUGAUUGGUGGUCCAAGGAUGAAAGGCAAUUACAAUUUUGUAUAUGGAGUUUUUUCUUUGAAUUUUCAGUAUUUACCAUUUUUGUCAUUGAUGAGUAAAUGAUAGUACGUAUCAUAUAUUAGUGAUAGUGAGAUUC